GCUUAACACAUGCAAGUCGAGGGGCAGCAUGGUCUUAGCUUGCUAAGGCCGAUGGCGACCGGCGCACGGGUGAGUAACACGUAUCCAACCUGCCGUCUACUCUUGGACAGCCUUCUGAAAGGAAGAUUAAUACAAGAUGGCAUCAUGAGUCCGCAUGUUCACAUGAUUAAAGGUAUUCCGGUAGACGAUGGGGAUGCGUUCCAUUAGAUAGUAGGCGGGGUAACGGCCCACCUAGUCUUCGAUGGAUAGGGGUUCUGAGAGGAAGGUCCCCCACAUUGGAACUGAGACACGGUCCAAACUCCUACGGGAGGCAGCAGUGAGGAAUAUUGGUCAAUGGGCGAGAGCCUGAACCAGCCAAGUAGCGUGAAGGAUGACUGCCCUAUGGGUUGUAAACUUCUUUUAUAAAGGAAUAAAGUCGGGUAUGGAUACCCGUUUGCAUGUACUUUAUGAAUAAGGAUCGGCUAACUCCGUGCCAGCAGCCGCGGUAAUACGGAGGAUCCGAGCGUUAUCCGGAUUUAUUGGGUUUAAAGGGAGCGUAGAUGGAUGUUUAAGUCAGUUGUGAAAGUUUGCGGCUCAACCGUAAAAUUGCAGUUGAUACUGGAUAUCUUGAGUGCAGUUGAGGCAGGCGGAAUUCGUGGUGCAGCGGUGAAAUGCUUAGAUAUCACGAAGAACUCCGAUUGCGAAGGCAGCCUGCUAAGCUGCAACUGACAUUGAGGCUCGAAAGUGUGGGUAUCAAACAGGAUUAGAUACCCUGGUAGUCCACACGGUAAACGAUGAAUACUCGCUGUUUGCGAUAUACUGCAAGCGGCCAAGCGAAAGCGUUAAGUAUUCCACCUGGGGAGUACGCCGGCAACGGUGAAACUCAAAGGAAUUGACGGGGGCCCGCACAAGCGGAGGAACAUGUGGUUUAAUUCGAUGAUACGCGAGGAACCUUACCCGGGCUUAAAUUGCAGAUGAAUUACGGUGAAAGCCGUAAGCCGCAAGGCAUCUGUGAAGGUGCUGCAUGGUUGUCGUCAGCUCGUGCCGUGAGGUGUCGGCUUAAGUGCCAUAACGAGCGCAACCCUUGUUGUCAGUUACUAACAGGUUCCGCUGAGGACUCUGACAAGACUGCCAUCGUAAGAUGUGAGGAGGGUGGGGAUGACGUCAAAUCAGCACGGCCCUUACGUCCGGGGCUACACACGUGUUACAAUGGGGGGUACAGAGGGCCGCUACCACGCGAGUGGAUGCCAAUCCCCAAAACCUCUCUCAGUUCGGACUGGAGUCUGCAACCCGACUCCACGAAGCUGGAUUCGCUAGUAAUCGCGCAUCAGCCACGGCGCGGUGAAUACGUUCCCGGGCCUUGUACACACCGCCCGUCAAGCCAUGGGAGCCGGGGGUACCUGAAGUGCGUAACCGCGAGGAGCGCCCUAGGGUAAAACUGGUGACUGGGGC
rnacentral:rRNA from 1 species